rnacentral:rRNA from 1 species
AACGCGAAGAACCUUACCAGGGCUUGACAUCCCUCUGACCGCUCUAUAAAAGGAGCUUCCCUUCGGGGCAGAGGAGACAGGUGGUGCAUGGUUGUCGUCAGCUCGUGUCGUGAGAUGUUGGGUUAAGUCCCGCAACGAGCGCAACCCUUGUCAUUAGUUGCCAUCAUUCAGUUGGGCACUCUAGUGAGACUGCCGGGGAUAACUCGGAGGAAGGUGGGGAUGACGUCAAAUCAUCAUGCCCCUUAUGUUCUGGGCUACACACGUGCUACAAUGGCCGGUACAAAGAGCCGCAAUACCGCGAGGUGGAGCAAAUCUCAAAAACCGGUCCCAGUUCGGAUUGCAGGCUGCAACUCGCCUGCAUGAAGUCGGAGUUGCUAGUAAUCGCAGAUCAGAAUGCUGCGGUGAAUGCGUUCCCGGGUCUUGUACACACCG